rnacentral:lncRNA from 1 species
UCUCACUCUUUUCUCUCUCUACCUCCAUUGUUAACCAAGUUCCAAGCUUCAUAGAUCAUUUCUAUGUUAUAAUCUCCACCAAAAUCAAAGUAUAAACUUCAUAAUCCUUGAAUCAAGAGCAACUUUGGAAUAUUUUAAAGCUUGAAGUCAAGAACGAGGAAUUUUAUUUUCUACUCAAGAAUCAUUGAGUAAGUGCUAGAUCUACUUAGAUCUAUAUAUUUGAGUUAGAUAUGAGUAUAUAUUGAUAGAUCAAGUAGAAAACAUCACCCACUUCAUUCUUGCAAUUUUCAAAAUUAGGGUUCAUACCCCUUCAAAAAUUCAUCAUCUAAUCUUAAAUUGAGAUUAUAUUCAUGCUAUUGAGAUCCUAUUUAGUCCAUUUUACAUGCAAAGCAUGAAUUUAAAAUGAUAAAUGAAUGUUUGAAUAAGUUAAUUACAUGAUCUAGAAAGGUUGAAGUUAUGGAUGAAUUGUUGAUUUGAUUAUGAAUAUGAGCUAGUGAGAGUGUUGAGAUGAUAUUUGAUGGACGAAAAUGAUGAUUAAAGGUGUUUGAUGAAGAUUGAAGUGAGUUAGUUUGAUGAAAAAUAGGGUAUAGUUGGCUAUAUGCUUGAUGAAGUUAGCAAGUUGAUGAGUUAUUUUGAAAACCUUUAAAAAGCUACUGACUUGAUGAAUUUCAACAGGGUUCUUGAUACCCAAAAAUCUUGAAACUUUUAUGGUGCGUAUAUCAGAGUGUUAAAAUGCAAAACGCCAAUUGCAACUUUCUACCGAAAGUUUGGAAGAACAGACCUUAGAGUCACCCUUUUCAGUAGCUUCCCCUAAUUUUUUGCUUGCCGACCUUUUAUGGUAAAGAGAUUAAUGUGUUGUCUAACUACCCACAAAAUUUCAAGUCAUUUCGGCAAUGUUUACUAUUUUUCAAAAAUCAAAUUCUCCAGUUGCACGAAACUGCCGAAUAUGGUAGACUGUGGGAGAACGGUCAUAUCUCUUAAACCACUUGGAGUUUUUCAACCUACUUUUUUUAAAAUGAAACUAGACUUCAAAGAGGUUUCCAAUAGUAUGAGUCUCGAACCCAGGAGAGUUCUGAGGAGAAACAGUUUAUUCUCUUAAGUUAAGGCAGUGCAGAAAGAGUGAAUUGAAUAAGAUUUUGAUUAUGAGAUGAGAUAUGAAUUAAAGAUGCCUAUAUGUGGCUUAGUGAAGAUGAAUUGAGCUUAUACAUGAAAAAUGUAAUAAAAUGGCAUAACUUGUUUAUGUGAGUUAAUUUUUGAAUAAUUGGUUUAAGAAUGAUUUAUAAAAUAGAUUUUUGGGAAAUUUCCCCGACUAAAAAUAUUUUAUUUUUUUUUUCAAAAAUGAGUUGUGUAUGUGAUUGCUAUGUGCUUAUGGAUUGUUUAUCUAUGAGUUGUUCCUUGACAGAGCCUAGACCUAAAUUAGGUGAUAAGUCGAGAAUAGAAUAGUGAUUACUUAGAAAGUGUUUACGAUAUGAGAUCGAGUCAGACGGAGUGUAGAAAUGAGAAGUAAUGAAAUAAUACUAAGAUAGAAUGAUAUUCUUAGUAAGGAAGUUUCUGACAUCCUUUAUUUAACCAUGAACUAAUCCCAUGGAAUUUGAAGAUACCAGAAGAGGACGGAAGUAAGUCCACCCCGAACGCUACGAGAGUAAGCUAAGGACAUCAGGUGGGCAUUAUUUUUACUAUACGUAUAUAGAGAUCCCCUGCGUAUCGUAGGCCUCUUAUACGAAAUGAAGUAAAUGAUGUGAUUUAACUGUAAAUUUCAGUUUGAUGAAAAUUAUUACUGAUGAUGAUGUUUAUGAGUUUGAUAAAUAAUUUGAGAUUUAUUGAUGUUGAACUAAUUGACUUGCCGAGUUUUGAUGACGACGAGCCUGUAUGUCACCCUCUACUGAUGAGACGAAUUCGGAUCCUGCCACAAGCGGGAUUGUGUACACAGAGGUGAUCGUGAGCUGUCCUUUGGGUCGGCCGGUCACGGUACUUGAGAAGGAGGCCUACUUCUCAGUACCUUUAUGAUGAUGAUUUGUAGAUGUGGUACAUACAUAACGAGAAUUUUGACCGGUCAUUUAUUUAUGAUGUUUAUGAUUGUUAACUGCUUACACGGGUUCUUUUGAGUAAAAUCCCCGUGUAUUGCUUAUGUGGCAAGUUCAAUCUAUAGCUCUAAGAGCUAGUUUUCAUUGAUUUUCGGCUUAUGUCCACUGAGUAUUCUGUACUCAGCCCUGCAUGUAUUUCUAAACGUGCAGGAUAAGCGAGGAGGGAGAUUGGACUGGUGCUGGCAGGGAUUUUGUUUCAGAUAAUCUUCAUUAUACCGUAAUUAUAUUCCUUGCGGUAACAUCAAGAUGUUGAAGUUUAUUUUGAACUUAAUCAAGAAAUUUACUCUCGGCUAUAUGUCUUCAUACAUAUAGUCUUUUCGUAUUUUGCUGCGAUACUCUGUAUAUCCCGAGUCAUUGUGAGUAAUUAGCUAUGUCUACUUUGUAAAGGUUGACAAGAAUCUCAAUAAUUUAAAAGUUAUAAAGCCAAUAAUAUUUUUAUUGAUGAUGAUGUCAUCUUUCUUGAUUUAUCACGUUUCAGUGAUUGCUUCCGCUUGACGUGCAAUCUAGUUUUGUCUUUUGACCUUAUUAAUAUAUUUAGUCGUAUCGAUACCCGGUUUACGCUAUCACUGGCUAGGCGUCGGGCUGCGACAUAUUCUUAUUUUACUUUUAAUAUGUGUUUCUUGAUUGUGCAAAGAAUUUGAGUUUUAUUGCAACACGAUUGUAAGUAUGUAAAACGUGAUUUGUCCGGUAGAUGCUAGAAGGAGUGUUGUCAUUGUGAUUGCCUACGAUCGUAUCCUUAUCUGUGAAUAAUGCUGGACGAAUUGCCAUUUCUAAAAAUGUCAGCUCUGAAACAUAUGGCCAGCUCUGAAACGUGACAGCUCUGAGUCUCUGCUCCUCUGGUCUAACUAUGAGCAUGGGAAACCACGUGAAAAGACUUUGGAUUACAUCCAAAUGGUUUUUAUUUCAUGAAUUAUGGCUCAACUGUCCAAAAACUUAAGCACACAAAGUGUAAAAAAAAUGGUGAUAUUGAUUAUAAAGGCGAUCACAUUAGGGAAUUCACUUCUAGCGGAGAAUUGGGUAUGAUCGAAUUACUUGCAUUACUGUUUUGUUGCUUCGUAAACUUUAAGUUACUUGCAUGAUCAAGAGAUGUGUGUUGAUUGUAAAAUUUUGAAUUGACUUUGUGAAUGUUUGGAUGGAAAUAAGCAUCGUUGAAAUCAAUCUCUUCCUAAGAUUCAUAUUGAUUUUGCUUGAGGACAAGCUGAUUUAUGCUUAAUUGUUCUAAAUUUUGGGGUUUGCAUGUACUUUUUAAGUUAAAUCUUCUGAAAUGGUGCGUUUUAUGGUUAUUUUAUGCUUUUCGGAGAUUUAGUUUCGAGAUGAAAGUGCAAAUUUUGGAGAUUUGGGCUAAGAAUUACGUUUUUGUGCAUGCUCUGGCACGUCAGAGAAGUGAAGCCCCGCAUGCCAGAGCAGCGAAAAGGGAAGCCAGAGAAAUGCUCCAGAUCCAGAGAAGUCAUUCGCCAGAGCAGCGAAAUCACUAGUCAGAGAAGUCAUAAGCCAGGCCAGAGAAAUCAAUAUCCAGUGCAGCGAAAUCGAAAACGCCAGAGGAAUAUAAGCGCCAGCGGAAUCGCCAUCAGAGAAACCGGAGCCAGAGCGGAACCGUUCCUGGCGAGAGCCCGAUUUCCGCCAGGGUGGAGAUUAUUUCAGAGCGCGCGACACAGCUGGAAGUUGCCUUUCUUCACGAUUCUAUUGCCUUUAGAGUUCUACUUUGCAUGGCAACUUCCAUGGUGAUCCAUAGGGAUUCGAAGUCUAUAAAUAGGGCCAUACUUUUCAUUGUAAGAUCAUCGCUUGCCCUAGUUUUAGACGCCAUCUUUGCGAUCUGUUGGCAUCCGAAGCUUAGGAUUUACUUGCUUUCAUAGUUCUUUAUAGUUUUCAGAUUCAUUGUUUUAAGUUAGAUUUCAAUUCAGUUUUUAGUUUAUUCUUGGAUUGUGAUUGAGUGACACAAUUACAUGUUCAAGACGUUUACGGUAUUUCGUAUUUCAAUUCAAUUUAUUUCGUUUAAUCAUGUUUACGUUUUUCAUUCAAGUUCAUGCUUUCUUUUUAAUUAUGCAAUUUAAAUUAUGCACUUUAGUUUCACGCCUAGAUUAGAAGUCUUUAAAUUUACAAGUAUUUAAUUUCUUAAGUUAGGUUUAAUUUGAGUUGUUUAAAUUCUUGCCUAGGUUAAGUUUAAAUUCAAGUCAAGUUUAAUUUAAGUUUAAGUUUCAGUUUUUAAAUCAAAAUCUUUACUGCUUCCUUUUAUUGCUUUUUCCUACGAUACUACUAAGAGCCCUUAAAGACUUUCCUUGAGAGAUGACAUUGGGUCAACUUACCAUCACUAGGAUGUCCUUGUUCUAUUGCAAGUCAACUUAGAGGUGUUUCUAGUUGAGUCACAAGCAAAAGGCUAAGUGUGGGGGGUUGAUCAUGUGCAUAUUUAAGUUGAAUCUUCUGGAAAUUUGUGCGUUUUAUGGUUUGUUUUAUGCUUUGCAGGAGAUUUAGGUUUUAUAGAUGGAAGAGUGUAAUUUUGGAGAUUUUGGGUUUAGAAUGGCGUUUUUAAGAACACUCUGGUGUACAGAGCUGAAAAGCCCACGCCAGAGCUGAAAAGCCGCGCCAGAGCUGAAAAGCCCGCUGCAGAGCAGAGCAGAGAAGCUCGCCAGAGCAGAGCNUAGUUUUUAUUGAUUUUCGGCAUAUGUCCACUGAGUAUUCUGUACUCAGCCCUGCAUGUAUUUCUAAACGUGCAGGAUAAGCGAGGAGGGAGAUUGGACUGGUGCUGGCAGAGAUUUUGUUUCGGAUGAUCGUCAUUAUACCGUAAUUAUAUUCCUUGCGGUAACAUCAAGAUGUUGAGGUUUAUUUUGAACUUAAUCAAGAAAUUUACUCCCGGCUAUAUGUCUUCAUACAUAUAGUCUGUUCGCAUUUUGCUGCGAUACUCUGUAUAUCCCGAGUCAUUGUGAGUAAUUAGCUAUGUCUACUUUGUAAAGGUUGACAAGAAUCUCGAUGAUUUAAAAGUUAUAAAGCCAAUAAUAUUUUUAUUGAUGAUGAUGUCAUCUUUCUUGGUUUAUCACGUUUCAGUGAUUGCUUCCGCUUGACGUUCGAUCUAGUUUUCUCUUUUUACCUUAUUAAUUUAUUUAGUC